GGGGGCGUGGUGUAGUUGGUCAACACGUCGGCCUGUCACGCCGAAGAUCGCGGGUUCGAGUCCCGUCGCUCCCGCCA
rnacentral:tRNA from 1 species